rnacentral:rRNA from 1 species
CAAAACACCGCCGUUAAUCCUUUUUCGGGGGUUAACGGUUGGUGAAU